UACGUAGGGUGCGAGCGUUGUCCGGAAUUAUUGGGCGUAAAGAGCUCGUAGGCGGUUUGUUGCGUCGGCCGUGAAAACUUGGGGCUUAACCCCGAGCCUGCGGUCGAUACGGGCAGACUUGAGUUCGGCAGGGGAGACUGGAAUUCCUGGUGUAGCGGUGAAAUGCGCAGAUAUCAGGAAGAACACCCGUGGCUAAGGCGGCUCUCUAGUACGGUACUGACGCUGAGACGCGAAAGCGUGGGGAGCGAACAGG
rnacentral:rRNA from 1 species